rfam:Schistosoma curassoni strain Dakar, Senegal genome assembly, scaffold: SCTD_scaffold0005922
ACACUGCUGUGGAGUCCCACAAUAGAACGAAACGGUCGUCCAGUGC